UUAAAGGGCCGUGGUAUACUGACCAUGCGAAGGUAGCAUAAUCAUUAGCCUUUUGAUUUGAGGCUGGAAUGAAUGGUCUGACGAGAGGCAACCUGUCUCCUUAAUUAAUUUGAAUUUAAUCUUUAAGUGAAAAAGCUUAAAUAGUCUUGGAGGACGAUAAGACCCUAUAGAUCUUUACAUCCGGCCUUUUCAUCUAACGGUGGGUAAUCGGGUGGAAGAGAAGGAUGUUUGGUUGGGGCGACGUCGAGAGGAGAAUAAACACUCGAGAAUAUACAUACAUCAAUAAAUGAUCAUUGAUCCUUAGAUGAAAAUAGAGUAAGUUACCUUAGGGAUAACAGCGUAAUUCUUUUUGAGAGCUCAAAUCGACAAAAGAGUUUGCGACCUCGAUGUUGGUUCAGGGACCCUAUUUGGUGCAGCAGCUUAAUCAGGUAGUC
rnacentral:rRNA from 1 species